AGAGUUUGAUCCUGGCUCAGAUUGAACGCUGGCGGCAUGCCUUACACAUGCAAGUCGAACGGCAGCACGGGUGCUUGCACCUGGUGGCGAGUGGCGAACGGGUGAGUAAUACAUCGGAACGUGUCCUGUAGUGGGGGAUAGCCCGGCGAAAGCCGGAUUAAUACCGCAUACGCUACGGGGAAGGACGGGGGAUCGAAAGA
rnacentral:rRNA from 1 species